rnacentral:rRNA from 1 species
AAAAGUCGUAACAAGGUUUCCGUAGGUGAACCUGCGGAAGGAUCAUUAUUGUAUUCACCUGCGAUGCUGUUGCUGGCUCCUUGUGGGCAUGUGCACGCUUCGUAAGUUAAUUUCAACCACCUGUGAACCUUUUGUAGUCUUGGGUGACGCUAUAAGUCAAAGGAAACUUUGGAUUUGAAUGCUGCUGGCUUGUAAAAAGGUCAACUUCAUUCUACAGCAGAGCCCGGGURCUAUGCUUUACACACCCCAUUGUAUGUCAUAGAAUGUAAUUCAAGGGCUUCAAUGCCUUUAAACUUAAUACAACUUUCAGCAACGGAUCUCUUGGCUCUCGCAUCGAUGAAGAACGCAGCGAAAUGCGAUAAGUAAUGUGAAUUGCAGAAUUCAGUGAAUCAUCGAAUCUUUGAACGCACCUUGCGCCCUUUGGUAUUCCGAAGGGCAUGCCUGUUUGAGUGUCAUUAAAUUCUCAACCUUAGAAGGCUUUGUCUUUUCUAAGGCUUGGAUGUGGAGGUUGCGGGCUUUUCAAGUCGGCUCCUCUGAAAUGYAUUAGCUGGGUUUGCGCCUUCAGCCUACUGGUGUGAUAAUUAUCUACGCCUCUUGGGUCGUUAGCGUGUAUAAAUCUUUCCAGCUUCUAACCGUCCGCAAGGACAAUACUUGACCAUUUGACCUCAAAUCAGGUAGGAUUACCCGC